rnacentral:lncRNA from 1 species
CUGCUUUCCUGUGGUCGAUCUGGCAGCUACAAUAGUUCUGGAAAUCUUUCAGUGUUGGGGUUCCACAAUCAAAGCAUGGUUUCUUGCAGGAACAAUUUUGAGACCUCUUGCCAUGGAGCUGGAGAGAUGAAAAUAUACUCCUUAGAGAUACUACGGAUAGCUGAAUUGUUAACCAUUUCGGUAAAAAAUGUAAGGUUAAGACCUCUGAAUAGCACCGGGAAUAGUAGCAGAAUUGACGUAAUGUGCUUUGCUCGUUAUGGUGCAAUGCCUUCAGCUACUCUACAUGAUUAUUCUGGUAACUUAAAUAAAUCUCCUUUGGUUAUUCAC